rnacentral:rRNA from 1 species
GGGUCCCGUUGAAUUCUAAACUAUGCCUGCAUAUGAGCGCUUUGGCGGUUAAAUGCGCUGGGCGGGGUCUUUACUCUAGUACAUAGGCGCGAGGCUGAAAGUCCAUGUGACCGUGGGUUUGGACCAGGAUUAGAUACCCUGUUACUCCUCGGCGUUAAGCACGAUUUAUGUUUUAUUUUCUGCUAGGCGACUACACUGAUAUCGCAGUCAAAGUCGAAGUACUUGGCGGUCCAAGAUACCCAUUCCGCGGGACUUGACGGUUAAUCUGAUAAUCCGCGUUUCACCGCACUUGCCCUUGAAUCAAGGAGGAGAGUAGGCCUCCCAGGAGAGGACAAUAUGAUACCACAGUUGGUGUAUGGCCGUCGCCAGCUUCCUUUUAGAGGAUGUUCUAAACGCAGGUUGCUAAGACCCCUUUUCGUCGAGGGUGCGCAGUUAGGCGCUCCAAAAAGGCGUGGGAGAAGAAGUCAGGUCGUCAUGCCGCCUACGGGCAAGGCUUAGUUGAGUCACAGGUUGUAAACAUAUUCGGAGGGUGGGAGGAAGAGGCCAUCAGAUAAAGAAGUAGGAGUGGACAGUAGCUUUCAAUUAGAACGUGAGAGCGAAGAGUGAACUUUUGGGCGUACAUACUGCCCGUCAAUUCCGAGGCAACUUGGGAU